rnacentral:rRNA from 1 species
GAUGAACGCUGGCGGCGUGCCUAAUACAUGCAAGUCGAGCGAACAGACGAGGAGCUUGCUCCUCUGACGUUAGCGGCGGACGGGUGAGUAACACGUGGAUAACCUACCUAUAAUACUGGGAUAACUUCGGGAAACCGGAGCUAAUACCGGAUAAUAUAUUGAACCGCAUGGUUCAAUAGUGAAAGACGGUUUUGCUGUCACUUAUAGAUGGAUCCGCGCCGCAUUAGCUAGUUGGUAAGGUAACGGCUUACCAAGGCAACGAUGCGUAGCCGACCUGAGAGGGUGAUCGGCCACACUGGAACUGAGACACGGUCCAGACUCCUACGGGAGGCAGCAGUAGGGAAUCUUCCGCAAUGGGCGAAAGCCUGACGGAGCAACGCCGCGUGAGUGAUGAAGGUCUUCGGAUCGUAAAACUCUGUUAUUAGGGAAGAACAAAUGUGUAAGUAACUAUGCACGUCUUGACGGUACCUAAUCGGAAAGCCACGGCUAACUACGUG